rnacentral:rRNA from 1 species
AGAGUUUGAUCAUGGCUCAGGAUGAACGCUAGCGGCAGGCCUAACACAUGCAAGUCGAGGGGCAUCGGGAUUGAAGCUUGCUUCAAUUGCCGGCGACCGGCGCACGGGUGCGUAACGCGUAUGUAACCUACCUAUAACAGGGGCAUAACACUGAGAAAUUGGUACUAAUUCCCCAUAAUAUUCGGAGAGGCAUCUCUCCGGGUUGAAAACUCCGGUGGUUAUAGACGUA